rnacentral:snRNA from 1 species
GGCUUGAUUCGGCUGAUCUGGCUGGCUAGGAUGGUGUCCCCCUUCCUCCCUCACCACUCCGUGUGAAUCUCUCCCGAAGCUGUGAGCUCUUUGGAAUAGGACGACCUUCCCUGAAUAGAGGAGGACAGGUCUUAGGUCAAGGGUUAGAGUACCUGCUCUCCCCUGCUAGAACCUCCAAACAAGCUCAAGGUCCAUUUUGUCUUUCUUAUUCAUGAAGGUAAUUUUGUAUCCAGCUACUUUGCUGAAGGUUUUUAUGAGCUGAAGGUGUCCUCUG